CAUGGGCGCAGCCUGAUGCAGCGACGCCGCGUGCGGGAUGACGGCCUUCCGGUUGUAAACCGCUUUUGACUGGGAGCAAGCCCUUCGGGGUGAGUGUACCUUUCGAAUAAGCACCGGCUAACUACGUGCCAGCAGCCGCGGUAAUACGUAGGGUGCAAGCGUUAUCCGGAAUUAUUGGGCGUAAAGGGCUCGUAGGCGGUUCGUCGCGUCCGGUGUGAAAGUCCAUCGCUUAACGGUGGAUCCGCGCCGGGUACGGGCGGGCUUGAGUGCGGUAGGGGAGACUGGAAUUCCCGGUGUAACGGUGGAAUGUGUAGAUAUCGGGAAGAACACCAAUGGCGAAGGCAGGUCUCUGGGCCGUCACUGACGCUGAGGAGCGAAAGCGUGGGGAGCGAACAGGAUUAGAUACCCUGGUAGUCCAAGGGCGAAUUC
rnacentral:rRNA from 1 species